AGAGGGGUUGGAGAAGGUCUUAGAUGGGUUUGGAGAGGUUGGAGAUGGGUUGGAGGAGGUCAAUGAGGUCUUAGAUGGGUUUGGAGAGGUCCGAGAGGGGUUGGAGGAGGUCAAGGAGGUCUGGAGACACCAGGAUGGUGGUGGAGAUGGGUUGGAAGAGGUCCGAGAGGGGUUUGAGAAGGUCUCAGAUGGGUUUGGAGAGGUCCGAGAGGGGUUGGAGGAGGUCAACGAGGUCUUAGAGGGGUUUGGAGAGGUCCAAGAGGGGUCUGGAGAGGUCUGAGAGGGGUUGGAGAAGGUCUCAGAUGGGUUGGAGGAGGUCUUAGAGGGGUUGGAGGAGGUCUGAGAGGGGUUGGAGGAGGUCAAGGAGGUCUGGAGACACCAAGAUGGUGGUGGAGAUGGGUUGGAAGAGGUCGGAGAGGGGUUUGGAGAGGUCCGAGAGGGGUCUGGAGAGGUCCGAGAGGGGUUUGGAGAGGUCCGUGAUGGUUGGGAGAAGGUCUCAGGUGGUUCAGGAGAAGUCCAAGAGGGGUUUGGAGAGGUCCGAGAUGGUUCGGAGAAGGUCCGAGAUGGUUCGGAGAAGGUCUCAGAUGGUUCAGAGAAGGUCCGAGACGGUUCAGAAGAGGUCCGAGAGGGGUUUGGAGAGGUCCGAGAUGGAUUGGAGAAGGUCCGAGGUGGUUCGGAGAAGGUCCGAGGUGGUUCGGAGAAGGUCUCAGGUGGUUCGGAGAAGGUCUCGGGUGGUUCGGAGAAGGUCUCGGGUGGUUCGGAGA